rnacentral:rRNA from 1 species
UACGUAGGGGGCUAGCGUUGUCCGGAAUCAUUGGGCGUAAAGAGCGUGUAGGCGGCCCGGUAAGUCCGCUGUAAAAGUCAAAGGCUCAACCUUUGAAUGUCAGUGGAUACUGCCGGGCUAGAGUCCGGAAGAGGCGAGUGGAACUCCUGGUGUAGCGGUGGAAUGCGCAGAUAUCAGGAAGAACACCAACGGCGAAGGCAGCUCGCUAGGACGGUACUGACGCUGAGACGCGAAAAGCGUGGGGGAGCGAACAGG